AUUGAACGCUGGCGGCAGGCCUAACACAUGCAAGUCGAGCGGCAGCGGGAAAGUAGCUUGCUACUUUUGCCGGCGAGCGGCGGACGGGUGAGUAAUGCCUGGGAUCUGCCCAGUCGAGGGGGAUAACUACUGGAAACGGUAGCUAAUACCGCAUACGCCCUACGGGGGAAAGCAGGGGACCUUUGGGCCUUGCGCGAUUGGAUGAACCCAGGCGGGAUUAGCUAGUUGGUGAGGUAAUGGCUCACCAAGGCGACGAUCCCUAGCUGGUCUGAGAGGAUGAUCAGCCACACUGGAACUGAGACACGGUCCAGACUCCUACGGGAGGCAGCAGUGGGGAAUAUUGCACAAUGGGGGAAACCCUGAUGCAGCCAUGCCGCGUGUGUGAAGAAGACCUUCGGGUUGUAAAGCACUUUCAGCGAGGAGGAAAGGUUGGUAGCUAAUAACUGCCAGCUGUGACGUUACUCGCAGAAGAAGCACCGGCUAACUCCGUGCCAGCAGCCGCAGUAA
rnacentral:rRNA from 1 species